GAUAAGGACUCUUUCCUCUAAUCCAUAUUUAUACAGAGCCCACUAAGCCCAUCCACCACAACCAACAGCUUCUCUUGCUUACACAGCUUCUCUUGCUUACCCAGCUUCUGCUUCUCAAUUAAAUUCCUCAAUGGCAACCUCAACAAUGGCUCUCUCCUCAUCAUUCGUCGGCAAGGCCGUGAACCUCGCCCCUUCAGGCAAUGAGCUAAGCAAUGGUGGCCGCAUCUCCAUGCGUAAAACCGGGAGCAAGUCUGUUUCUUCAGGUAGCCCGUGGUACGGCCCAGACAGAGUCAAGUACUUGGGCCCAUUCUCUGGCGAGCCCCCAAGCUACUUGACCGGUGAGUUCCCUGGCGACUACGGUUGGGACACAGCCGGGCUUUCAGCUGACCCAGAAACCUUUGCCAAGAACCGUGAACUCGAAGUCAUCCACUGCAGAUGGGCCAUGUUGGGAGCUCUUGGAUGCGUCUUCCCGGAGCUCUUGGCCCGCAACGGAGUCAAGUUCGGUGAGGCCGUAUGGUUCAAGGCGGGGGCCCAGAUCUUCAGCGAGGGCGGGCUUGACUACUUGGGGAACCCAAGCCUGAUCCACGCCCAGAGCAUCUUGGCCAUCUGGGCUUGCCAGGUGGUCUUGAUGGGAGCCGUUGAGGGUUACAGAAUUGCUGGAGGGCCGCUCGGUGAAGUGACUGACCCAUUGUACCCAGGUGGCAGCUUUGAUCCAUUGGGUUUGGCUGAUGACCCGGAGGCUUUUGCUGAGCUCAAGGUUAAGGAAAUCAAGAAUGGAAGGUUGGCUAUGUUCUCCAUGUUUGGUUUCUUCGUUCAGGCCAUUGUCACCGGCAAGGGACCGUUAGAGAACUUGGCCGACCACUUGGCCGACCCUGUCAACAACAAUGCCUGGGCCUACGCCACGAACUUUGUCCCCGGAAAGUGAGCUUCGGUUGAUAACAUUAGUAGCGUGGAAAUUGGAAUUGAGAGUGAUUGGUUAUUGAUGUGACUCUAUUUCAACUUGCAAAACAUGUGAAUUAUGUAAUGUACUGCUACUACCAGUUUGAGGGGAUUGUAUUUUCAUUCAAUCUCUUGUCGCACGGUUCUAGUUCUAGUUCCUCCUCCUUACAGGUUGUGCCAGAAUCUAGUUACAAGUUUACAUCAACAAAAUCUCCAAUAUGUUCCCUUUUACAACUUCAUUUUGACCUUAACUAUAGCUUUAACAACAACAACCCAACAAAUCUCCAAGAAAGUAGUAACAGUGAAGCCCCGCAAGCAUUUCUUUCUCUGUCUCCACAAUUUCCACAAACCCAACAAAACACACCUCGCUUAAGCAUUAUCAACAAACUGAGAAGAUUGAUGAUGCCCAAAAGUUAAUGCAGCUGCUGGGUCUAGCAAACAAUUCUCAAGUAGAGAAGCGCUGUGAGUGUGAGGGGGAAUUCUAUAAUAAGAUUGUUGGGGGAAGGGGCCAAGGUGUGGGAGUAAAUUGAAGAGAAUGGAAGGGUGGAUUAAGUACUUUUUGAGCAGUAGUGACAUUGAACAGCUUUAGGUUGCUUAUUUGCUUCUUGGUAAAGCUGCUUUUGUUGGAAGUGAUUGUGAUUCGGUAACUUCGAGUUUCCUUAAACUAUAUAUUCUGGUAACUUCAAUUUUUUUUUUUUUAAGUAACUGCAUUGUCUAAGCUUUUUUAUGAAAGCUUUUAUUUGGAAUCGGCUUGUACUAGAGAAAAUUUCUAUAUAAUGAACCAUUCAUCAAUUACAGAUAGAAGAUAACACUUGGAGCAAUAUAUAAUACCACUAACGAAACAAGCGCUUAUGUUUUCUGAGCUUCUGAACGAUUUCCAAAUUGAAGUGCUUCAAAUGGGAAAUGACAAUCAGUCAAUUACCAAACCUUGAAUUAAUUACCCAGCUUUCCGAAUUUACAAUGGUUGAUACCAAGUGUUGAAAACAAGAAAAGGAAAUUUUGAUCUUACAAGCAAUUCCUUCUCUCUCAAGAAACAUUGUGUGAAUAUUCAUUAUUGAAAUGUAUACCAUUAAUGGAUCAUCCCAGUUCAUAAUCCAUCAAAUAAAAUCAAAAAGUUGCUAGGUCUUACCAUUUCAAUCGCCAUUAAUGGUAGCUAUACUACCACCAUCAACAUGAGAAUGUCCCAUUGUUAUGGUGACUGUCGCUGCUACUCCACUGAAUUUCUGUUUUGCCUUAUCAGUAUAUAAUAAUGCAGUGCAAGUUGCAUUAUGUAUAUAUAUUUUAAUUGCAAACCAUACAAGUUAUACUACAUUUUUCAUUUGGCGAUUGAGAUUUUCCAACCACAGAAUGAGACAGAAACCUCUUAUUUCUCUAAACAAAAUAUCCUCUUUAAUUGAACUUUGCUGAGGUUUUUAACCAACUUACAUUUUCCUGGUUUAGUAGUGAGGGCUAGAGCCUAGAGGCGCUUGUGCAAUUUGAACCCAUGACGAUGCGGACGUUGGGCAGGAAGAUUAAUGGAACAAUUAUACGUCGUCAUGAUAGCUGAAACACAAAUAAUGAAGUUUUCGUGGCAGAUAGGAUGCCUGCAGAAAGUAUCUGGAAAGGAAAAUCGAAACGUAUCAUUGUUGUACGGCAAUAAACUAAGUUGUGAGGAUACAUUAAUUUGUCCACUAACAAAUAUUGAAAUUCUUGAUUUUAGUCGAGCAUAAGAUCUCUGUCUACCCAUCGAUCCUUUUUCAUGUUGAUUUUUUGGGCUGUUCCCAUCCUCGUUUCUCAAUAUUACUGUAUCUGGAAUUUCUGGUUUGUAAUCAAAGUAAAUUUGGAUGUUUUACGAGACUAGAUAUUUCUUUAUGAUGUUCAUCUCAUUCUUAUUAGUUUCUCAAUAUAUUUGUACAUUUUCAACGUAUUAAAAUUUAUUUAUUUUAUAUAUUUUAGUAAUAUAUUUAUUUUAACAAAGUAAAUAUAUUAUGAUUAGAGGAAGACGCUCUCUCACUUUAUAUAUAUAGCACAUAAUAAAAUAGAAAACACAAUUAGUAAUAAAUAAUAUUUGAAUAAUUAGAGUAAGAUGCUGGGUGGUUAGAACCAGUGGUGAAGCUAGUACUAUUUUUUAGGGUGGGCUAGAUUUUUUUUAAAUUCAAUUACUUCUCAAAAAAAAUUUAUAUACAAAUGAAAUUAUUAAAAUACACUAGACAAGCAAAAAACUAAUAAUAAAACUAUAAAAGUACAAUGUAAAUAAAAAAACACUAUCGAUGAAAUUUUAUCCGAUUCUUCAAAAAAAAAUUCAUAUAGUAUCGUAUCUGAAUUAUUUUGUGUGCGAUAAUAAUAUAUUAGAGAAUUAUUAAUUAUUUUAUCAAAAAAUUUGACAAAAAUAUAAGCUAAUAACUAAUUAAAAAACAGUAUGAGCAUAUGGGUGCAGCAGAGGCUGACCGUCAAUCAUGAGGUGGCAACUUGAUGACUUGAACAGCUGAGUUAUGAGAAAUUUAGACUUUGAAUAAUUAGAUCAAUUAGUUAGGAAUUUGGGUGAGUUUUUCGAUUUAGAGAAAAUAAAUAUUAACUAUAAUUAUUCGUUAUAUUUUUAUAUUUUAUUUUAAGUUUUUUAAAAAGAAUAAAUUUAUAAUUAAUUCAUAUUUUUUUUCAAGAAACUAACCCGGGCUACAGCCCGAGUUAGCCUUCUUGAUAGCUUCGCCCCUGGUUAGAACCACUCCCUCACAACUGUGAGGGUAGUGGUUCGAACUCUCUUAAAAAUAGUAUAUGGAUUUAAUUUCUUUUCUCAAAUUUGGAUGGAUACAUUUUUUCCUCUUUCAUAUAAUAUAAACUAGAAAAUAGAACCGCGCUUCACGCGGCUUUGAAAAAAUAAUUUAGUAUUAUCCUUUUUUUUAUUUUACACUUGAUGAAACUGAUAACAAAUAUGAAUUGAUUUUUUUUAAGAUGAGGCAGCCUUAUAAAAUUAAUGUUAUUUAUGAAAGUUAAUUAUUUGUUUGUUAACUUUAAAUAUAUAUAUAUAUAUAUAUUAAUGUGUAUAGUUAAGUGUACAAAUCUUAUACCUUUUGUAGUUGUUGAUAAGUUCCAAAUUAUAUUCAACUUGCUAAUCUUUUAGAACUUUUAUAUCUCUUUUUUGCAAACCAGCUCCAACGAUCUCAAUAUCACCCACACCACAUAAACUUCCGACAACAUCUGUAAUAUUAUGAAAAAAUAAUAUAAAUAUGUUAAAACAUAAGGAUCAAUAAUUUCUAAUAUACACUUAAAGAUUAACAAACAUUAAUAAUUAAAAAAAUAUCUCAGAGGAUUGUGUUAUCAUUCACACGUAUGUUAACCAAUAAAAGUUAGAAAUGUUGAAUGCAGUAGAAGUAUCCAAUGCGGUCGUCGAAAAUUGGGUGGUUUAAACCAAAAAAAAAAAAGCUAUUAGCCAGAAACACAAAUAAAGAAGCAACGCAAGAUAAAAAAUAAAAUGAAAGAAUAUAUUAUAAAGUGAUUUUAUUCAUUCUAAUUGUGUGUGUACAAAAUAAAAAGAUGAGCUCUCGUUUUAGGGAGCUCUUAUGUUACAAUUAAUGUAACAUACACACUCAACAACAACCACACAAAUGAUGGGCCCACACAAUUUGUGUGGUUGUUGUUAAGUGUGUAUGUUACAUUAAUUGUAACAUAGCAUUUGCCCUCGUUUUAUAGUUACAUAAUCACUUCAUAAAAUUAAUGAAAAAUUAUGGUUCAUAAUUCCUUGUGAGAUAGUAGGAAUUAUAGGGAAGCUAAAGGUUGCUAAUAGGAGAUAGUGGGGAGACUAAGAAAUAUAUAUUAUGAACAUCUACAUUUAUUUUAAUAAAUUUAUAAUACUCCCCCUUAAAUGUUCAUUACAAAGAAUAUGCCUCAUUAAAAUCUUUACAUAAUUGUUAUUGUGUAAUAACAAUCAAAUUAAUUAUGAGAAGAUGAAUGACCAAAUCUAAAAGAAAACUUCUCUAUUUAUUAGAUAAUAGAGAAUAUACAAAAAUGAAAAAUGGUGAUGCCAUAUCACCUCCUCAAGUCCCAGUUAUAUAUAUAUAUAAAUAGAUUAUAAUUUGAGUAAUAAUAUUGUGUAAUUUUUUUUAAAAAUAUUAUGGAGAUUUAAUUUUUUUUUUCUCAAAUUUAGAUGGAUACAUAUUUCCCUCUUUCAUAUAAUAUAAAUUGGAAUUUGAGUAAUAAUAAUAUGUAAUAUUUUUUUAAAAAAAGAACAUGAUGAACAACAAUGUUAUUAAACAAUUAUGGAUGGCGCUAUCGGAUGGCAGAAGUGGCAAUGCAUUAUUGGAAGGAGAUACGAUCUCCAAACCCGUGAAUUAGGUGAUGCAUUGUCGUAAAAAUCCGGUGAGUGGUUCUGAGUGUGCCAAGUGGGCAUAGGAAUCAAACUUUCAAAAUAUUACCAGCCAAUGGGGAGCGAGAUAUAGAUCUCCUAAGAUAAGGACUCUUUCCCCUAAUCCAUAUUUAUACAGAGCCCACUAAGCCCAUCCACCACAACCAACAGCUUCUCUUGCUUACACAGCUUCUCUUGCUUACCCAGCUUCUGCUUCUCAAUUAAAUUCCUCAAUGGCAACCUCAACAAUGGCUCUCUCCUCAUCAUUCGUCGGCAAGGCCGUGAACCUCGCCCCUUCAGGCAAUGAGCUAAGCAAUGGUGGCCGCAUCUCCAUGCGUAAAACCGCGAGCAAGUCUGUUUCUUCAGGUAGCCCGUGGUACGGCCCAGACAGAGUCAAGUACUUGGGCCCAUUCUCUGGCGAGCCCCCAAGCUACUUGACCGGUGAGUUCCCUGGCGACUACGGUUGGGACACAGCCGGGCUUUCAGCUGACCCAGAAAC
rnacentral:lncRNA from 1 species